rnacentral:rRNA from 1 species
CAUGUUCGAGACCUUCGGGUGGCGUUUAUUAGACCUAAAACCAAACCUUUUCGGUUACCGGUGAUUCAUAAUAAACUUGCGAAUCGCAUUUUUUUGCGAUGUAUCAUUCAAGUUUCUGACCUAUCAGCUUUGGACGGUAGGGUAUUGGCCUACCGGGGCAGCGACGGGUUACGGGGAAUUAGGGUUCGAUUCCGGAGAGGGAGCCUGAGAAACGGCUACCACAUCUUAGGAAGGCAGCAGGCGCGCAAAUUACCCAAUCCUGACACAGGGAGGUUGUCACAAGAAAUAACAAUACGGGGCUUAAUGUCUUGUAAUUGGAAUGAUGGGAAUUUAAACCUCUUCCAGAGUAUCAAUUGGAGGGCAAGUCUGGUGCCAGCAGCCGCGGUAAUUCCAGCUCCAAUAGCGUAUAUUAAAAUUGUUGCAGUUAAAAAGCUCGUAGUUGAAUUUCUGCUGCAUUUCAUUUCUCUUUCUGAGUUUGUUUUUGCGGCUUAUUUCGGUUUGAUUUUUUCUUUCCGGAUGAUUACUUUGAGAAAAUUAGAGUGCUCAAAGCAGGCUUUUGCCUUGAAUAGUUUAGCAUGGAAUAAUAAAGUAGGACUUUGGUUCUAUUUUGUUGGUUUUAGGUACCAAAGUAAUGGUUUAUUGGAACAGUUGGGGGCAUUCGUAUUUAACUGUCAGAGGUCAAAUUCUUUGAUUUGUUUAAGACGAACUACUGCGAAAGCAUUUGCCAAGGAUGUUUUCAUUAAUCAAGAACGAAAAGUUAGG